UUUAUUAAGGAGAACACAGAUGUUAUUUAUGAUGUGGUUUGCUCAAAUCAAAGCACACAUUUUAAACUAAAAUCAUUUGAGUGGCAGGUGGUAGUGGUGCACACACCUUUAAUCCCAGCACUUAGAACCCACAGGCAGGCAGAUUUCUGAGUUUGAGGCCAGCCUGGCCUGCACAGAGAAACCCUAUCUCUAAGAACCAAAAACCAAGCCAAACCCCUAAAACUCAACCUCCUGACCCCCCAAAAAACCCACCUUAGUGAAUGAAUUAGGCAUCCAUCAAUGGUUAUUUAAUAGAUAUCUUCCUCUUUGAUGGAAGAAAAAAAAAUUCACCACCUAUAUUAUAAAUCUUGCCAAUCAAAACAAAAAAAUCUGAAACUGAUCAAGACUCUAGAUUAUACUCAAAAUUAACAGAAAACUGGUGACAGCAGGUGUUAAAUAUACUGCAGAAGUUCAGUCUAAGAGAAACACUACAAUGUUAAUUUUGGUUUCUUAUGCGAAUAAACUGCCAAAAGAAAAAACAAGGAAAAGUUGAAGCUACAACUGAGAGAACUUAGCUUCUUGAGACAGUUGGCAAGGUCUAAGGCUAUUUUUUAGUUGUUAUUACUGAGAUGUUAUUAAUGACAUCAGGUGAAUCACAGAAGGCAUAGGUCAGUCUUCUACCACAAAGAACUACCAGUGCUAAGUACUGUGGGGCAUGACUAGAAAGCUAGCAUGUGUACAGCUGAGACUGGAGGAUGAAAUUUGAGAGUAGCUUGGCCACACAAUGACACCCAAUCAUAAACAACAAAGAGACACCAGACUUUAGAAACUUUAAUUCUGGAUAUUUAAUUAUAUUAGAAAUUACCAGUAAAGCUAGUUAAAAGCUUACUCAUUUGGAGCACAAUGAAGAAUAAAAAAUUUCAGUCAGAAGAAUAAAGUUUAAGAUAGCUAUUGUACACUGUGCAGACAAUAGUUAGCAUUCUACAUAUCUACCUUUUCUUACUACAAAUGAGAAAAUAUAUGUUAAAUUUAAUGAUUCCUCAACAUAUACACAUUUCAAAAUGUUAAACACAAAUGCAUUUACUUUUUUCUUCCAAUUAAAAAUUAGUUUAGCUGGGCAGUGGUGGUGCACGCCUUUAAUCCCAGCACUCGGGAGGCAGAGGCAGGCGGAUUUCUGAGUUCGAAGCCAGCCUGGUCUACAAAGUGAGUUCCAGGACAGCCAGAGCUACACAGAGAAACCCUGUCUCGAAAAAAACAAAACAAACAAACAAAAAAAUUUAGUUUAGGGGCCUGGAGAGAUGGCUCAGCAGUUAAAAGCACUGAUUGCUCUAAAGAAGGUUGUGAGUUCGAAUCCCAGCAAUCACAUGGUGGCUCACAACCAUCCUUAAUGAGAUCUGAUGCCCUCUUCUGGUGUGUCUGAAGACAGCUACAGUGUACUUAGAUAUAAUAAUAAAUAAAUCUUUUUAAAAAAUUAGUUUAAAAAAUACAUUGUAGAGAGUAGGGCAUGGUGGUGCACAGCUUUAAUCCCACCACUAUUGAGUCAUUGAGUUUAUGGUUAGACUACAAUAGAUAGGGCUACAUAAUGAGACCCCGACUCAAAAACAAGAAAGUACGCUUUAUAUCUAUUUAUAAAGCACUAGAAGAGACUUUGCUUGCUUUUAAAUGGCUCUGGGUGUCAAAUCCACGGCCUCACUGAACUACACUCCUAGCCCAUGCCUUCCUUGCUGUUUUUCCUAAAUUCUCCCUAAUGACCAUACUUUGUCAUACCACUUUUCAGAAAGCUUUAUUGUGUGGGGCUAGGAAGAUGGCUCAGUGGGUGAAGUGCUUUCUGAGAAAGCAAUGAAGACAUGAGUUUGAUCCCCAACACCCACUUGGAAAGUUGGGCAUGGCAGUGUGGGCCUGUAAUCACACUGCUAGGGAGGCCUGACUGCCUCUGCCAUCAUGCCUGUCUACAGUUUCUGUCUCUUGAAUCUUGGUAGUAUCUAGAGUAAAGUAACAGUCCAGCAAGAUGACUCAGAAGUAGCACUUGCUACUAAUCGUAAUGACCCAACUCUGAUGCCCAGGACUACUGUAGUAGAAGGAAUCAACUCCUACAAAUUUUCUUCUGACUUUCAUGUGUACUGUGGCAUGCCUGUGUGUGUGUGUGUGUGUGUGUGUGUGUGUGUGUGUGUGUGUGCGCGCGCACGCGCGCGCGCAUGCGCGCACAAACACUAAAUAACUAAGAACUAAAACAAACAAACAAACAAACAAACAAAAACAACAACAACAAAAACAACUUCAUGAGUAAAACGGGGAGCUGGAGAUGGCUUCUUGGUCAGGAGUACUUAUUGCUCUUUCAGAGGACUAGGUUCAGAUGGAGCUCACAACUGGCUCUAACUCAAGUUCCAGGAGUUGCAAUUCCUUCUUCUAACCUCUUGGGGCACCACGCAUGUGACUGGUAUAUGUACAUGCACGCAGGAAAAACACCCAUACACAUAGAUCUAAAAAUAAGCAAAAAAACUAGCUGACAGUAAAGUGAGUCUGAUUUAAAGCAAUGCUGUAACCUAACAAAAACAAGAGAGAGAGAGAGAGAGAGAGAGAGAGAAUGUGUGUGAGUGAGUGUGAGUGUGUGUGUGUGUGUGUGUGUGUGUCCCUAAACAAUUUAAAGUGCUUUAUGUUCUUGGUCCAGUCUCAAACAAAGCUCUGGCUACUUUACUAGAGACACAGUUCAUGAAUUCUCUGUGUGGGCACUGUGUCUUAGCCAGCAUUCUGGGAAGGCAUUAUGAAAUCUACAGAGAAAGAGCCAUGGUCUGAUUCAGGAUGAAAAGGGUUCAAGGUAAAAUAAGGUAGGCUUGGAGAAAAGUAGCAUGACCAUGUCAAAAGUUCUUGUAUAAAUUACAAUUGGAAUGUUAUGAAACCCUACCUCAAAACAAGAAAAGAAGUCUGAGAAUACAGUUCACUGUCAAAGCACCUGUCUAAAAAGGUCCCGCAGAGCUCAGCAGCCAAGAUGUGACUUCACUGAGGACCAGACUGCAGAAUUCAAGGAGGCUUUCCAGCUGUUUGACCGAACAGGCGAUGGCAAGAUCCUGUACAGCCAGCGUGGGGAUGUGAUGCGGGCCCUGGGCCAGAACCCUACCAACGCCGAGGUGCUCAAGGUCCUGGGGAACCCCAAGAGUGAUGAGAUGAAUGUGAAGGUGCUGGACUUUGAGCACUUCCUGCCCAUGCUACAGACCGUGGCCAAGAACAAGGACCAGGGAACCUACGAGGAUUAUGUUGAAGGCCUUCGUGUGUUUGACAAGGAAGGAAAUGGCACCGUCAUGGGUGCUGAAAUCCGUCAUGUCCUAGUCACACUGGGUGAGAAGAUGACAGAGGAAGAAGUAGAGAUGCUAGUGGCGGGGCAUGAGGACAGCAAUGGUUGCAUCAACUAUGAAGAGCUUGUCUGGACGGUGCUGAACGGCUGAGGACAUUCUGUAUCCCGAGCCUGUUCCUUGCCCAGUGUGAUUUCUGUGUGGCCCCAGAGGCUCCCCUGUCACAGCACCUUGCCCAUCUGGUUUCUUUUGGAUGAUGUUUGCCUUCACCAAAUAAAAUUUGCUCUCUUUGCAAAAAAAAAAAAAAAAAAAAAAAAAAA